CAAUAGCGUAUAUUAAAGUUGUUGCGGUUAAAAAGCUCGUAGUUGGAUUUCUGCUGAGAACGACCGGUCCGCCCUCUGGGUGUGUAUCUGGCUCUUUCUUGGCAUCUUCUUGGUGAACGUUGCUGCACUUGACUGUGUGGAGCGCUACCCAGGACUUUUACUUUGAGGAAAUUAGAGUGUUUCAAGCAGGCAUACGCCUUGAAUACAUUAGCAUGGAAUAAUAAGAUAGGACCUCGGUUCUAUUUUGUUGGUUUCUAGAGCUGAGGUAAUGAUUAAUAGGGAUAGUUGGGGGCAUUCGUAUUUAGCUGUCAGAGGUGAAAUUCCUGGAUUUGUUAAAGACGGACUACUGCGAAAGCAUUUGCCAAGGAUGUUUUCAUUGA
rnacentral:rRNA from 1 species